CUUUGCAGCAGCCAGGAGUCCGACUCCUCCUCUUCCUGUGUGGAACCUGGAAUUCAAACGGCUGGGGCCUCACUCACGGCAUAUGGAACUAACCACGCCCCUAACUAAGAAGGCACACCUUAGUUGCAGUUAGCACACAAUUAAAGCAACUCUCCAAGUUUUACCUUAAAGUUCAAAAUUGCUAGGAGUUGAAACUACUAGAAAUAUAUUUACAUGCAAGAGUCAAAGAAACUUUGAACUAUUUAUGGCCUUUAAUAAUUAAGUAAGGUAUACUCCUGUGAUCAAGACUUGGAGCAUAUUUGUUUCUCUCUGCCUGGUUCCUCUAGAAAUUGGAAACUAUCAGAACAGAGACCAACUCCGUUUCCCGAUCCCUUUGCAAUCUGCAUUGAACCAUGAGUCAAGUUCUUGAUAAAGGAGUGAAAAUGGUAAGUCUAAAGCAAUGAAAAGCUGCUGUAUUGACUACACAUGCCUUCAUUUCUUCUACCCUGCUUCUUUCAUGCCUGCUUAUCUGAAUGACACCAGGAUGACAUUUAAGGCACAUCUGAAGAUGGGGAAACCACAGCACAGAAUAAGGCUGGGCCCUUGAAUCAAUAAAUGAAGGAGAACUACUCAAGAGAACAAAACCACCAGCAAUAUCCACCUGUAUUUGUCUUUUCAUAAUGUGUGACACAUGUGCUCAUGGAUUAUUGUCCGAAGCAAGACAUGUGACCAAGCCUAACAUCAACUGGGUGAAGAGCUAUAUGUUCCUUUCUCAAGAGGCACUACAAGUGACAUGCCACUGGGCAGGGGGCAGGUCUUUCCUGUGCUGUUCUUGUGAAAGUGAGUAAGUCUCAUGAGAUCUGAAGGCUUUGAAAAACAGGAAUCUCCCUGUACAAGCUCUCUCUUUGCCUGCUGCCAUCCAUGUAAGACGUGACUUGCUCCUUCUUGUCUUCUGCCAUAAUUGUGAGUCUUCCCCAGCCAUGUGGAACUGUAAGUCCAGUUCAACCUCUUUCUUUUGUAAAUUGCCCAGUCUUGGAUAUGUCUUUAUCAGCAGUGUGAAAACAGAGUAAUACAGAAGUAAUUUCUAUGACAUUAUAUAAGAACUAAAGUUUUAUUUUUCCAAAAAUGUUGAAUGUUGAUGCUGUAUUCUGGUGAUGUUUGUUUUACCAGAAAAAUACAUCAUAUUCAGGAUAUGAACUAAACAAAAAUUAGUUGCUACUGCUCAACUGACUUAAAUAUGAGAUGUUGUCUAAUUAUCUCUGAUUGCUUCCUUUGGUUUCUAGUGAUUAAUUAUGCCUAAUUAUUCCUUGAUUUUUGGAAAAUCACAUUUAAGUUUCCUCUGCAAAGAAAAGAAUAGGUAAAUCAAGUCCUCUAGAAAAAAAGCAUAAAAAUAUAGUUUUGAAAUUCUAAAACUCAUAAAGGGAAAUAAAAAUCCCAUUCGUUUUUAUUUUAAUAUUUUGCUAGAAAGUACAAUGGAAGGAAAGAAGUCUUUUUUCUAAGACAGCAGUAUUUUAGUCAAUUGUGUAUCAACAGACUUCUGUAUAACUGGGAGCCACAUCUUGGAAAUGCUCUUUCCAAUGGCAGUGACAUCUGAGGAGAGUCCACUCUGAUAUGGACACUAUACUAGGAGGAGACAAGAGUACAGUAGGAAAAAAUUAGUCUGUGCGGUGAAGGAGUCCUACAUUGUCCCUCAGUAGAUUUCUAUAAAAUUUCACUUAAUUAGUAGCAAGUAACAGAGUUGGAAUGAGGACCUAGAUCUUUCAUUUUAAUCUAAUACUCUUUCUUCCACUAUUUUAGUUAGAGUCAUAUGGGCAAGCCCACAAUUAGUACAUGAGGACAUUUUUAAUGGGUAAGAUUACAGAGAACCAUUAAUUCUAGCCAUUAAAUUAAUCAAUUCAGCAAAGCUCUGAUUCCCCCUUCCCUUAAUUGUUAAAUAAGUAGUUCUCCAUUCAGUUGUUAAAGGAUUAUUUCUUGAUAACAAGGAAAUAAUAAACUUCUUAAGACACCCUGGUAUGAAUAGCUGAAAUUGAUUGAUAGUAAUCUCAGUAAAUCGUUUCAUUCUAAUUUUUGGUAUAUCUAUACUGCUUUGAAUAACUCUUCUACCUACAGCCCAUUAAUAAAUAUUUGCCUAGUCAAAUUUUAGUUUGUGCUAUACUCCUAGAAGGACAUGGGGUGUAUGGAAGCGAAACUAACUGGAUAUUUAAGGCAUUCAAUAAUGUCUUUUUGCUUCCGAUUCUAGCUGUAUAACAUAGGUAAAUCUCUUAAAUUCUCAGAACUUCAAUUCAUUUAUAUGUAAAGUGAGGAGUUGUACCAUAUUGGUAGUUAUUAACAUGUACUGUACUUAUGAAUCAGUCUGAAAAUCUUGCUAAACUGCAUAUUCUGAGCUUUUCUUAAUUUUUUUUUGUUUUCUCGGAAACGCUGAUUCUCUAGGUCUUGGUUGGAGUCCAGGUAUCUGCAAAUUAAAUAAGCACUUGAAGUGAUAGUAUCUGAGUGUCCGUAGGCAAAUGUUAGGAGAACUGAAUCAGAUGUUCUUUGAAAGAUUUUCAUGGUUCUAAAAUGUUCUGAUUUAAAAUCCACAAAGAAAAAAAGCAUUGAAAAUGAAUCAGCAAACUAGAUGUAAUUAAAGCUUCUUGCAAUUCCAUUAAUAAACUUUUUAGAAUGAAUUACACUUUAUGUCUUCAUUUUUUCUUUUACAUUGGCAUGAAAGCAGUGAACCCUGAAAUGUUUCAGUCCUUGAGUUCCCAAAGUUAUGUAAAAGCUUGAUAAUCUUAAUUAACCCACAUUAUCUCUUAUCAUAUAAUAAUAGUGCUUUCUAGAAGUUGACUAUCAGAUGGUGAAGUUAGGUUUAUAUCAGCUGGUCAUUACUUCAAGUUUUUAAGCUAUAGAAGUCUGAACUACCACCAAAAAGAGCAACUAUCAUUUUUUGCUCACAUAAAGAAGUAAAAAUCUUCAAAAUAUUCUCAGGUGUUCUAUAAAUAUUUUUCUCUCAUGUUCUAGGAAACCACCUAAAGUAUAUUCCAAUUGAUAAGCUAAAAUCACUUGGAGUUUGCUAAUUUUGAAGAUGAAAAAGCUCCAGGAGCUUUCACACAGCUCCUUAGUGGUUUCAGUGUGGCCUGACUAGUGGCUGGACUGUGCCACAACAACUUAUUUUAAAGGUUAUUGUGAUACUAUUGGUAAAUAAAUGAUUGGAAAACAUAGAUACCUAUCUGCAUGUAAAAUAAUAGCCUUCCACCACUUUCUCUUUUUCACUUUUCACAUUCCGAUCUUAUCCCUGUUUUACUACUUAUCACGUUGUAAAAUAAGUUUAUAUUAGAUUUUACCUGAAGAUAGUAAAGAUAGUAAGGAUGCUAAGGGUUUUCUUAGGAUACUUAGAAAAUAUAGUAAUUCUGUUAUCUCUCUAAUUAUAAUAAGAUUAUUGACUAAUAAUCUGGAAGUAUGGCCUCAGUACACUCACCUGAGCAAUGAGAGACUGGGUAGGCCUGAUAUUCUUUAUUAUAGAAACACAUUGUUUAGAAUAAACAGUUACGUAAUCAAACUGCUGUGUUAAUUUCUUGGUUUCGUCACUUGAUUGCUUUGUAUACUGGGCAAGUUAUUUCAGUCAUCUUUGAUUCAAUUUCUUCAUCAACAUAAAAACCAUGAUCACUAUUGUACAUACUUCAUGAACUUCUGCAGAUAUUAAAUUACUUAGUAUACAUAAUUAUACCAGUUAUGUCAUUUUUUAAAUUGUUGCUAAUACUGUUAAUCCAUUCAAAUAUUAAAUGAAAGCAUAGUUUGUAGUUCUGUAAGUUUCAAUACUUCACUAUAUAAUUUGAGUACAAUGCAUUAUUCGUAAGCUGAAUAUAGGGUUUUGGAUAUCUUCUGAAGGGUAGGUUACAAUAAAAUUGCUAAUUAUAGAGGGUUGCUAAAGGUAUUUGUACCCUGUGAAGUAUUCUAUUAUCAGUUCUAUUCUGGUUAUUCAAUGUCAGCCACAAUGCCUCUAAAAAAUUUGAAGUCAGCCUUUAUUUUAAAAGUGCCUUAAACAUUUCACUGAAAUAAUUAAAUGUAUUGGUUUAAUGGAACUCUCAUGAUACAGUAGAAGAAAUGGGCUGUUAAGAAUAUUGAAAGAAUUAAGAAGCAGUGAAUUUAAAGCGCCCUCUUCAACUUUUCUUAGAUGUUAUAAAUGUAACCAUUCCUACUAAAGUACACCAUACUCGAAAGAUCUUUUCUCUUUUUUUAUGAUUUAGAAAUGGUAGUUACAAUAUGUUGAAAGUAUAAGCCUUGGUUUUUUAUAUAUGAAAGCACUAUCAAAUCAUAAUGAAGGCAAUUUUUCCUAUAGUCUUAAUUUAGCUAUUUAAUAUAAAAUCAAAAAAAUGGCAUACAUAACUAUCUAGAAGUGUCAAUAAAUCAUUAGAGCGGACAUUCAGUGUUUCCAGUAAAUAAUUAUUAAGUAUAGAUUAGGUUGCUUUGGGAGAGUAUAACAUCUUAGAACUUUACUUCAUGAUAAUAAUCACCACUUAUUAAAUAUAUACUGUAUGUGACACUACAUACUAAACCCCUUUCAUUUAAUCUUACUUAAUAUCUCAAUAACCAGUGCUGAAUUGUCUUACAAAGUUGGUAUCAGCACCACCCCCUCUGAAUUCUCCCUGAUUCAAGGAAAAAUAGGAACUGAGUUCUAGUGAAUUCACUUCCACUUAUGGUUUUGACAUAGAGAGAAAUGAGAAAUUCUGUCUGAUACAUAAAAUGCAG
rnacentral:lncRNA from 10 species